CUUUUUCCUCGCGUCCUUUGCCCCGGAAGUGCUCUUACAACAUUGGCUGCCGGCGUGACUUUGACCGCUUCCCGGUGCGUUACCGGCAGCUGAACCCACUCGGAGCCGCGGGACUUUGACGCGUGCUCUGCGCUUGCCAUGAGACUCCUGGGAGCCGCAGCCGUCGCGGCUCUGGGGCGCGGAAGGGCCCACGCCUCUCUAGGUUGGCAGAGGAAGCAGGUUAAUUGGAAGGCCUGCCGAUGGUCUUCAUCAGGGGUGAUUCCUAAUGAAAAAAUAAGAAAUAUUGGAAUCUCAGCUCACAUUGAUUCUGGGAAAACUACAUUAACAGAACGAGUCCUUUACUACACUGGCAGAAUUGCAAAGAUGCAUGAGGUGAAAGGUAAAGAUGGAGUUGGUGCUGUCAUGGAUUCCAUGGAACUAGAGAGACAAAGAGGAAUCACUAUUCAGUCAGCAGCCACUUACACCAUGUGGAAAGAUGUCAAUAUUAACAUUAUAGAUACUCCUGGGCAUGUGGACUUCACAAUAGAAGUUGAAAGGGCCCUGAGAGUGUUGGAUGGUGCAGUCCUUGUUCUCUGUGCUGUUGGAGGGGUACAGUGCCAGACCAUGACUGUCAAUCGUCAGAUGAAGCGCUACAACGUUCCGUUUCUAACUUUUAUUAACAAAUUGGACCGAAUGGGCUCCAACCCAGCCAGGGCUCUGCAGCAAAUGAGGUCUAAACUAAAUCAUAAUGCAGCGUUUAUGCAGAUACCCAUUGGUUUGGAGGGUAAUUUUAAAGGUAUUAUAGAUCUUAUUGAGGAACGAGCCAUCUAUUUUGAUGGAGACUUUGGUCAGAUUGUUCGAUAUGGUGAGAUUCCAGCUGAAUUAAGGGCGGCGGCCGCUGACCACCGGCAGGAGCUAAUUGAAUGUGUUGCCAAUUCAGAUGAACAGCUUGGUGAGAUGUUUCUGGAAGAAAAAAUCCCCUCGAUUUCUGAUUUAAAGCUAGCAAUUCGAAGAGCUACUCUGAAAAGAUCAUUUACUCCUGUAUUUUUGGGAAGCGCCUUGAAGAACAAAGGAGUUCAGCCUCUUUUAGAUGCUGUUUUAGAAUACCUCCCAAAUCCAUCUGAAGUCCAGAACUAUGCUAUUCUCAAUAAGGAGGAUGACUCAAAAGAGAAAACCAAAAUCCUGAUGAACUCCAAUAGAGACAAUUCCCACCCAUUUGUUGGCCUGGCUUUUAAACUGGAGGUAGGUCGAUUUGGACAGUUAACUUACGUUCGCAGUUAUCAGGGAGAGCUAAAGAAGGGUGACACCAUCUAUAACACAAGGACAAGAAAGAAAGUACGGUUGCAACGGCUGGCUCGCAUGCAUGCCGACAUGAUGGAGGAUGUUGAGGAAGUAUAUGCUGGAGACAUCUGUGCGUUGUUUGGCAUUGACUGUGCUAGUGGAGACACAUUCACAGACAAAGCCAACAGUGGCCUUUCUAUGGAGUCAAUUCAUGUUCCUGAUCCUGUCAUUUCAAUAGCAAUGAAGCCUUCUAACAAGAACGAUCUGGAAAAAUUUUCAAAAGGCAUUGGCAGGUUUACAAGAGAAGAUCCCACAUUUAAAGUACACUUUGACACUGAGAACAAAGAGACAGUUAUAUCUGGAAUGGGAGAAUUACACCUGGAAAUCUAUGCUCAGAGGCUGGAAAGAGAGUAUGGCUGUCCUUGUAUCACAGGAAAGCCAAAAGUUGCCUUUCGAGAGACCAUUACUGCCCCUGUCCCGUUUGACUUUACACAUAAAAAACAAUCAGGUGGUGCAGGCCAGUAUGGAAAAGUAAUAGGUGUCCUGGAGCCUCUGGACCCAGAGGACUACACUAAAUUGGAGUUUUCAGAUGAAACAUUCGGAUCAAAUAUUCCAAAGCCGUUUGUGCCUGCUGUAGAAAAGGGGUUUUUAGAUGCCUGUGAGAAGGGCCCUCUUUCUGGUCACAAGCUCUCUGGGCUCCGGUUUGUCCUGCAAGAUGGAGCGCACCACAUGGUUGAUUCUAAUGAAAUCUCUUUCAUCCGAGCAGGAGAAGGUGCUCUUAAACAAGCCUUGGCAAAUGCAACAUUAUGUAUUCUUGAACCUAUUAUGGCUGUAGAAGUUGUAGCUCCAAAUGAAUUUCAGGGACAAGUAAUUGCAGGAAUUAACCGACGCCAUGGGGUAAUCACUGGGCAAGAUGGAGUUGAGGACUAUUUUACACUGUAUGCAGAUGUCCCUCUAAAUGAUAUGUUUGGUUAUUCCACUGAACUUAGGUCAUGCACGGAGGGAAAGGGAGAAUACACAAUGGAGUACUGCAGGUAUCAGCCAUGUUUACCAUCCACACAAGAAGACAUCAUUAAUAAGUAUUUGGAAGCUACAGGUCAACUUCCUGUUAAAAAAGGAAAAGCCAAGAACUAACUUUGCUUACUGUGAUUUGACUGACUUUAAUUGAAUCUGCGUGGUUUCGAUACUUUGAUGGAUUCCAGUGGAAUAAACUCAGGCUGCUGAAACAAGAAAUUCUGAGCCCAGGAAGCGGGCUCUUCUUUCUUCAAAAGAAGCCCUUCUUGUUCAUAUUCAGGAGCUUCUGUUACAUUCAAAGGUUGCACAGUGGCUCAGAGAGUAGACUUGGAGCCAGGCUGCCCGGUUUGUAGCCCUGCUUGACCUGUGUGAUCCGAGAAUAAUCUUGUUUAAUCUCCACAAGUUUGAGGACUAAACUGGGUGCCAGAGAGAAUUAAGUAACUUGUCGAGGUUGCAUCAGUAACAAGGGAGCAGAGAAGAGAUUCAAGCUCAGCUUACACUUGGCAAUCCUCUAGGGAGGACUUUGGCUGAACCCAGUGAACCAGGAGGAAAAGAAUCACAAACGUCUGGAGUUUGUUGACUAGAAAAAUUCCCUGUGGUCUGACAGAUUACCAUUUCCCACCCAGCCAUUCUCAUCAGAGAAACGAGUCUCAUUUUCAACUGGCGCGGCUAGUUGAAAGUUCUGCAUGUUUCCCCAGGUGUCUAAAUUAUACGCUUCUGUGUUGAUUUUUCAGAUUAGGCAGAAACUUUGACUUCCUCCUAUGAAAGAUGAAGAUUGAGCACUUUUGUUCUCCAUUCUUCCAAUGUAAUUAUAUUGUAUUUUUUUAAUUAAGUAACUACUCAAAGUUAACUGUUGUGAUUAUUAUAAAUGUUUUCCCCAGUAAGGCACACAGUGUACACUGAUAAUACUUCCGUUGUUAUACAACUUCUUUUUCUUCCUGGAGUUCAAAAUUAUCUUGUUUUGGUAUUUUUCUGUCCCUAAUUCUCCUCCAACUCAUUGCCAGCAGUGUUAAUCUCCUCUUAGUAGUUCAAACACAUCAGGUAAUCAACUGAUUUUUUAUUUUUAACGCAUCCCCUCUGGAGCCCAUUGGCCUCCUGCUCUGAUGUGUCAUUCAGUUCUCCUUAGUUGGAUCCCUCUCUCUCGAAUCCUUUGUAUGCCUUUUUCCUGGUUUGCUCCUUCAUUUUGUGGAAUAUAUCCUCCAGUACCUUCCCAGUAAAGCAUGUUUGGAUUCUAUUGGAUUUUUUUUCCUGUUUUUAUAUUUUUUUAGAACUGAGAGCUCAUUUUUGUUUUAUGAAGAGUUUGUUCUUUUUUGUAGAUGCAGUUAUAUUAUUUCUCUGAAGAUAUUAAUUACAGUUUUCCUGAAAGUUUAUUCUGCUUUUUGUGCUGUGUUGGCUUUCUCUGAAUAUGUAUAUUUGAUUAUAAUCCCCAGUAGUCAUUGUUUAUAAGUCUUUUCUUUGAGGAGCUCAGUUUCUGUAGAGAAGAAAUUUGUAGCCUGUCGCCCCAUGUGUCUAAGCUGAGUCACCAGGACUUUCAGAUGCAGUGGUGAAAGGCUGCUGGCUGUUCUGACCAUUCAGCAUGCUGACUUGCCCCUCAUCCCCUUCUCUGGUAUGUCUUCUGUCAGAUGAGGGAGGUGCCUUGUCUGAUGGAGUGGAGAAGUGAUCAAAGGAUCAAGCUGUAUUUAGUAUAGCCUUUUAAUCAACACCCCACAACCGGAGAGGUUCCUGGGGCCCCCAAUUAUAUGCCUACCAGGGGCUCCAGGGCCAGUCUGUUAUCCUCCUGCCACCUCUCUGCAACCUGUGCCUGGUCUGUAAGUUACUCAUCAUUUACCACCUGCUUUCCAGUUUCCAACAUCGUGUUUACCUUUCUCUCUCCACACUUGUUCCUUUCUCUUUUAGCCUUGUCCUUGAGAUGGUUUGUUUAUUUGUUUUUUGCCUUUAACAAAAUCUCGAUACUGUAGUGAAUUUUGGGGGUGGGAAUAUAGGCAAAAGACAAUGUUCAAAUGUGUCCCUCAAGUUUAAAUGUGUCCCUCAAGUUUCAUAUGUUGGAAACUUAAUCCUCAAUACAGCAGUGUUGAGAGGUGGGACCUUUAAGAGGUGAUGAGGUAAUCAGGACAGUCUUAAUGCCAUUAUCUUGGGAGUGGGUUAGUUACUGUGGGAGUGG